rnacentral:lncRNA from 1 species
GGUUGAGGGUGUGAUCUCCUCUUGUAAUUUUUUUUCUUUUUCUCAUAGUGAAGCUUACAUGUCUCAUGGAGGCUAGUCUUUUUUUGGCUGAUCCACGUAUUUGAUUAUUUUUGUUUUAUUUUUUUUUUUCUACUGCGACAUGUAGUAUUGAAAUGGUCCUGAGGAUAGCGUCCUGGCUAGAUAUCCCCAACAGAGAGAUCCUAUGUAAAUCACCUAGAUCCCACUA